UUGGAGGGCAAGUCUGGUGCCAGCAGCCGCGGUAAUUCCAGCUCCAAUAGCGUAUAUUAAAGUUGUUGCAGUUAAAAAGCUCGUAGUUGAAUUUCGGGGUCAGCAGGUUGGUCGUGCCAAUGGUAUGCACUGGCCUUGGUGAUUCCUCCCUCUUGUAGAACCGUAAUGCCAUUAAGUUGAUGUUGCGGGGAAACAGGACUGUUACUUUGAAAAAAUUAGAGUGUUUAAAGCAGGCUAACGCCUGAAUACAUUAGCAUGGAAUAAUGAAAUAGGACGAUCGAUCCUAUUUUGUUGGUUUCUAGGAUUGACGUAAUGAUUAAUAGGGAUAGUUGGGGGCAUUAGUAUUCAAUUGUCAGAGGUGAAAUUCUUGGAUUUAUUGAAGACUAACUACUGCGAAAGCAUUUGCCAAGGAUGUUUUCAUUAAUCAAGAACGAAAGUUAGGGGAUCGAAGACGAUCAGAUACCGUCGUAGUCUUAACCAUAAACUAUGCCGACUAGGGAUCGGAUGAUGUUAAUUUUUUAAUGACUCAUUCGGCGCCUUACGGGAAAC
rnacentral:rRNA from 1 species